UAUGUAAAAAAAUAUCGUUGAUUGAAUUUCACUAUGAAAUUAAAAAAUCGAUCGCUUGAUUCUAAAACCAACAGCACGAUUUCUUACAGUCAUAACGGAUUUGGUAGCUGCGGUUGUCAUUUGCGGAUCUGCCACCGCCGACCGAUUCUAAUUUUUUACCGCGCAGGCAAUAACUAAUGAUAUAAAAAUUAUGCAUGUACAUAAGUUGUAACUUAUAAAAUUCUUAAGCGUUUUUCUCUAAGUGUAUGCUACGCUGUUUUUCCUGUUAACUGCCAACACUGGAUUCACUUUUCAGUGUACUCAUACACCCUGCUUUUAUGUCAUCUUGUAAACAAUUGUAUACAUGGACUUCUAUCCUUUCUAUUACCGCAACCGAAUGAUUCAUGUUUUUGAGUCAAUAAUUCUAUUUUGUCAAAGAAGAUACAACACACAAGAUAACCUGCCGGCUCGAAACAAGAUUCUUUGAUUGUGACUAGUGAUCAGAUAACACUAUAAUGAAGGAACCCUAUGAAAUGCUCAGAUGCUGUCGAUUCAAAAAUUACCCACAAGAAGUUUCCUAUUGGGGUGCAAUCCGAGGAAGCAGUACAGGAGCAGCCAGCAGCUACACUGUCAUCAUCUUGGAAGGAUGAGCUGCCGGUCGUUGACAUACAGUUCAAUUAGGUUCUUUCGGCUGCAGUUUGAAAAACUAGAGAAAACUCGCAGCAAAGAGUUGCAGGUUACUCGGGAAGCGUUAAAUUUCAUGUGGCGGUGUCGGGCGGAACCUUUUCGCUUCUCGUUAGGAAUAAAUUGCAGAUUUUAAAAAUUUCUGCGAAACAUA